rnacentral:tRNA from 1 species
GCCCCAGUAGCUCAAUGGAUAGAGCGAAGCUCUCCUAAAGCUUAGGUUGCAGGUUCGAUUCCUGCCUGGGGCA